rnacentral:rRNA from 1 species
GUGAGGAAUCUUCCACAAUGGGCGAAAGCCUGAUGGAGCAACGCCGCGUGAAGGAUGAAGGCCUUCGGGUUGUAAACUUCUUUUAUGAGUGAAGAAUAUGACGGUAACUCAUGAAUAAGCACCGGCUAACUACGUGCCAGCAGCCGCGGUCAUACGUAGGGUGCAAGCAUUAUCCGGAGUGACUGGGCGUAAAGAGUUGCGUAGGCGGUUUAAUAAGUGAAUAGUGAAACCUGGUGGCUCAACCAUACAGACUAUUAUUCAAACUGUUAAACUCGAGAGUGGUAGAGGUAACUGGAAUUUCUAGUGUAGGAGUGAAAUCCGUAGAUAUUAGAAGGAACACCAAUGGCGUAGGCAGGUUACUGGACCAUUUCUGACGCUAAGGCACGAAAGCGUGGGGAGCGAACUGGAUUAGAAACCCUAGUAGUCC